ACAGGCUUAACACAUGCAAGUCGAGGGGCAGCAUGGUCUUAGCUUGCUAAGGCCGAUGGCGACCGGCGCACGGGUGAGUAACACGUAUCCAACCUGCCGUCUACUCUUGGACAGCCUUCUGAAAGGAAGAUUAAUACAAGAUGGCAUCAUGAGUCCACAUGUUCACAUGAUUAAAGGUAUUCCGGUAGACGAUGGGGAUGCGUUCCAUUAGAUAGUAGGCGGGGUAACGGCCCACCUAGUCUUCGGUGGAUAGGGGUUCUGAGAGGAAGGUCCCCCACAUUGGAACUGAGACACGGUCCAAACUCCUACGGGAGGCAGCAGUGAGGAAUAUUGGUCAAUGGGCGAGAGCCUGAACCAGCCAAGUAGCGUGAAGGAUGACUGCCCUAUGGGUUGUAAACUUCUUUUAUAAAGGAAUAAAGUCGGGUAUGCAUACCCGUUUGCAUGUACUUUAUGAAUAAGGAUCGGCUAACUCCGUGCCAGCAGCCGCGGUAAUACGGAGGAUCCGAGCGUUAUCCGGAUUUAUUGGGUUUAAAGGGAGCGUAGAUGGAUGUUUAAGUCAGUUGUGAAAGUUUGCGGCUCAACCGUAAAAUUGCAGUUGAUACUGGAUAUCUUGAGUGCAGUUGAGGCAGGCGGAAUUCGUGGUGUAGCGGUGAAAUGCUUAGAUAUCACGAAGAACUCCGAUUGCGAAGGCAGCCUGCUAAGCUGCAACUGACAUUGAGGCUCGAAAGUGUGGGUAUCAAACAGGAUUAGAUACCCUGGUAGUCCACACGGUAAACGAUGAAUACUCGCUGUUUGCGAUAUACAGCAAGCGGCCAAGCGAAAGCGUUAAGUAUUCCACCUGGGGAGUACGCCGGCAACGGUGAAACUCAAAGGAAUUGACGGGGGCCCGCACAAGCGGAGGAACAUGUGGUUUAAUUCGAUGAUACGCGAGGAACCUUACCCGGGCUUAAAUUGCAGAUGAAUUACGGUGAAAGCCGUAAGCCGCAAGGCAUCUGUGAAGGUGCUGCAUGGUUGUCGUCAGCUCGUGCCGUGAGGUGUCGGCUUAAGUGCCAUAACGAGCGCAACCCUUGUUGUCAGUUACUAACAGGCCAUGCUGAGGACUCUGACAAGACUGCCAUCGUAAGAUGUGAGGAAGGUGGGGAUGACGUCAAAUCAGCACGGCCCUUACGUCCGGGGCUACACACGUGUUACAAUGGGGGGUACAGAGGGCCGCUACCACGCGAGUGGAUGCCAAUCCCAAAAACCUCUCUCAGUUCGGACUGGAGUCUGCAACCCGACUCCACGAAGCUGGAUUCGCUAGUAAUCGCGCAUCAGCCACGGCGCGGUGAAUACGUUCCCGGGCCUUGUACACACCGCCCGUCAAGCCAUGGGAGCCGGGGGUACCUGAAGUGCGUAACCGCGAGGAGCGCCCUAGGGUAAAACUGGUGACUGGGGCUAAAUCAUA
rnacentral:rRNA from 1 species